UACGUAGGCAGCGAGCGUUGUUCGGAGUUACUGGGCGUAAAGGGUGUGUAGGCGGUUGUUUAAGUUUGGUGUGAAAUCUCCCGGCUCAACUGGGAGGGUGCGCCGAAUACUGAAUGACUUGGAGUGCGGGAGAGGUGAGUGGAAUUCCUGGUGUAGCGGUGAAAUUCGUAGAUAUUCGGAGGAACACCAGAAGCGAAGGCGGCUCACUGGCCCGAUACUGACGCUGAGGCGCGAAAGCGUGGGGAGCAAACAGG
rnacentral:rRNA from 1 species